rnacentral:tRNA from 1 species
GACGCUGUCCGACGGGUCGGGCGGGUGCCUGCAAAGCUCCCGGGGCGGGUUCAACUCCCGACGGCGUCU